rnacentral:rRNA from 1 species
GAUAACCCUGGGAAACUGGGGCUAAUACCGGAUGGCUCGCAUCUCUCGCAUGGGGGGUGUGGGAAAGGUUCUCUCCUGUGAGGGGGGGUUCCGGCCUGGGAGGGGCUCGCGGCCCAUCAGCUUGUUGGUGCGGUGAGGGCGUACCAAGGCGAUGACGGGUAGCCGGCCUGAGAGGGUGAUCGGCCACACUGGGACUGAGACACGGCCCAGACUCCUACGGGAGGCAGCAGUGGGGAAUUUUGCGCAAUGGGCGGAAGCCUGACGCAGCGACGCCGUGUGGGGGAGGACGGCCUUCGGGUUGUAAACCCCUUUCGGCCCUGACGAAUGUGACGGUAGGGGCUAAAGAAGCGCCGGCUAACUACGUGCCAGCAGCCGCGGUAAUACGUAGGGCGCGAGCGUUGUCCGGAUUUACUGGGCGUAAAGGGCUCGUAGGCGGUUUGUCGCGUCGGUCGUGGAAAUGUGCGGCUUAACCGGGCACGUGCGGCCGAUACGGGCAGACUCGAGGGCGGUAGGGGCAAGCGGAAUUCCUGGUGUAGCGGUGAAAUGCGCAGAUAUCAGGAGGAACACCGAUGGCGAAGGCAGCUUGCUGGGCCGUUCCUGACGCUGAGGAGCGAAAGCAUGGGGAGCGAACAGGAUUAGAUACCCUGGUAGUCCAUGCUGUAAACGUUGGGCGCUAGGUGUGGGGACCGGGUGAUGGUGUCCGUGCCGUAGCUAACGCAUUAAGCGCCCC